AACCACUGGUGAACAGGAAGCUCGCCAGGAUCAAGGACGAUCGACCAUGCUUGGAUGCUGCCGACAGGGAGUUGGAAUGGUUCUGGACAAAAAACCCGCUUCGGCGGGUUUUUU
rnacentral:sRNA from 1 species